rnacentral:piRNA from 1 species
UAGCCAGCCUGCCUGCCUUUGGGCUCUC